rnacentral:tRNA from 1 species
GGUUAUUUAGUUUAUACUAAAAUACUGGUUUUGUAAAUCAGAGAUAAUACAUGUUUAUUACUAACCA